rnacentral:rRNA from 1 species
AUUGAACGCUGGCGGCGUGCCUAACACAUGCAAGUCGAGCGGCAGCGCGGGAGCAAUCCUGGCGGCGAGCGGCGGACGGGUGAGUAACGCUUGGGAAUCUGCCUGUUAGUGGGGGACAACCCGGGGAAACUCGGGCUAAUACCGCAUACGCACUACGGUGGAAAGCCGGGGACCGCAAGGCCUGGCGCUAACAGAUGAGCCCAAGUCGGAUUAGCUAGUUGGUAGGGUAACGGCCUACCAAGGCGACGAUCCGUAACUGGUCUGAGAGGACGACCAGUCACACCGGAACUGAGACACGGUCCGGACUCCUACGGGAGGCAGCAGUGGGGAAUAUUGGACAAUGGGGGAAACCCUGAUCCAGCGACGCCGCGUGGGUGAAGAAGGCCUGCGGGUUGUAAAGCCCUUUCAGUGGGGAAGAAAAGCCUCGAGCUAAUAUCUCGGGGUCUUGACGUAACCCAUAGAAGAAGCACCGGCUAACUCUGUGCCAGCCGCCGCCGU